GUUUGGCAGCAAGUUAGACCGAGACUGGGGGCAAGAGAGAGCAUGGCGUCCACAAAACUGAGAUAUCUGGUGUGUUUAAUCCUCCUUCACACAUGGACAUCGGAAUGUCUUGGAGAAGAUUUUCAGAUGUCUGACUUUGAAACACCUGGACAACAGAAUGUUUUGGAGUUUCACCAGCAGGCAGUGAACAAACUGAGACCCGGGUCCAGUCUGAGUCCAAG